rnacentral:tRNA from 1 species
GGAGAGGUGACCGAGAGGCCGAAGGUGCACGAUUGGAAAUCGUGUGUGGGGCAACCCACCGAGGGUUCGAAUCCCUCCCCCUCCGCCA